rnacentral:rRNA from 1 species
UACAGAGGGUGCGAGCGUUGUUCGGAAUUAUUGGGCGUAAAGGGCGCGUAGGCGGUGCGGUAAGUCACCUGUGAAAUCUCCUGGCUCAACUGGGAGCUUGCAGGCGAAACUGCCGUGCUGGAGUGUGGGAGAGGUGCGUGGAAUUCCCGGUGUAGCGGUGAAAUGCGUAGAUAUCCGGAGGAACACCAGCGGCGAAGGCGGCAUCCUGGACUGGUCCUGACACUCAGGAGCGAAAGCGUGGGGAGCGAUCCGG